rnacentral:rRNA from 1 species
UACGAGUGCCCCAAGCGUUAUCCGGAAUCAUUGGGCGUAAAGGGUGUGUAGGCGGUUUGGUUAGUCUUCUGUCAAAACCUUGGGCUCAACCCAAGGCUCGCAGGGGAAACGGCCAGACUCGAGAGUGCGAGAGGUGAAUGGAACUCAUGGAGUAGGGGUGAAAUCCGUUGAUAUCAUGGGGAACACCAAAAGCGAAGGCAAUUCACUGGCGCAUUUCUGACGCUGAAACACGAAAGCGUGGGUAGCGAACGGGGA